CGUGUUCAUUGUUGUGCCUUUUG
rnacentral:miRNA from 11 species